GAGGCUGAAAAGCGUAGGCGAUGGCAAACAGGCGAAAGAUUCCUGUACCACCUUGUUUCCAUUUGAGCAAUGGGGGGACGCAGGAAGGUAGGGAAAGCGCACCGCUGGACGUGUGCGUCGAAGCAGAGGAGGCUGGCAGACAGGUAAAUCCGUCUGCCGUAAGGCUGAGCUGUGACCGCGAGGGAAAUAUAGUACCGAAGUUCCCGAUCCUACACUGCCAAGAAAAGCCUCUAGCGAGGAAACGGGUGCCCGUAC
rnacentral:rRNA from 1 species